CUACGGAGGAUCCGAGCGUUAUCCGGAUUUAUUGGGUUUAAAGGGUGCGCAGGCGGCCAUUUAAGUCAGCGGUUAAAUCGUGGGGCUCAACCCCAUUCUGCCGUUGAUACUGGGUGGCUUGAUUGCGGUCGAGGUUGGCGGAAUUCGUUGUGUAGCGGUGAAAUGCAUAGAUAUGACGAAGAACACCGAUUGCGUAGGCAGCUGACCAGAUCGCAAAUGACGCUCAUGCACGAAAGUGCGGGGAUCGAACAGGAUUAGAUACCCUGGUAGUCCGCACAGUAAACGAUGAAUACUUGUUUUCGGCGAUAUAAUGUCGGAGGCAAAGCGAAAGCGAUAAGUAUUCCACCUGGGGAGUACGCCGGCAACGGUGAAACUCAAAGGAAUUGACGGGG
rnacentral:rRNA from 1 species